UAGUUUGACUGGGGCGGUCUCCUCCUAAAGAGUAACGGAGGAGCACGAAGGUUGGCUAAUCCUGGUCGGACAUCAGGAGGUUAGUGCAAUGGCAUAAGCCAGCUUGACUGCGAGCGUGACGGCGCGAGCAGGUGCGAAAGCAGGUCAUAGUGAUCCGGUGGUUCUGAAUGGAAGGGCCAUCGCUCAACGGAUAAAAGGUACUCCGGGGAUAACAGGCUGAUACCGCCCAAGAGUUCAUAUCGACGGCGGUGUUUGGCACCUCGAUGUCGGCUCAUCACAUCCUGGGGCUGAAGUAGGUCCCAAGGGUAUGGCUGUUCGCCAUUUAAAGUGGUACGCGAGCUGGGUUUAGAACGUCGUGAGACAGUUCGGUCCCUAUCUGCCGUGGGCGCUGGAGAACUGAGGGGGGCUGCUCCUAGUACGAGAGGACCGGAGUGGACGCAUCACUGGUGUUCGGGUUGUCAUGCCAAUGGCACUGCCCGGUAGCUAAAUGCGGAAGAGAUAAGUGCUGAAAGCAUCUAAGCACGAAACUUGCCCCGAGAUGAGUUCUCCCUGACCCUUUAAGGGUCCUGAAGGAACGUUGAAGACGACGACGUUGAUAGGCCGGGUGUGUAAGCGCAGCGAUGCGUUGAGCUAACCGGUACUAAUGAACCGUGAGGCUUAACCUU
rnacentral:rRNA from 1 species